UGGGAGUGCAUAGAUUGCCUGGCACAAUGCACAUGAUAUCAGUAUGGAUGGGGCCCUCGAACGGCGAGCUAAUGUGGCGUUUUAUCUAUGUUUGAUCCAAAUUGCUUCAUGUUCUUUUAAUGAGGUUGCAAUUCAGCUGGAGGAUGUGUUUACCAUGACCGCCAAAAUAAGACACAACAUAUGGUGUCCAGUGCUGUACAAUAGUAAUUCAUGGCCCGGUCCAAAAAUCAGCCAUUACUCACUUUAGAGUGCAGUAUCGUAAUCUACACGCCGUCAUGAAGAGCUGGGAGAACUGUAAGUGGAACUCAUCUUACCCUAAACAGUUGACCCACUGUCUUUUACAUUAUAUGGUCACUAUAACGCCCAUGAUGUGCAGACAAAAAUACCCCAGAGACGAUCUGGCUGUUGGUGGUAGAUGCUGAAUUUCUUUUGCAUUUACGAACCAAAGCAAAAGUCUUUCAGCUGCACUUUGUUACUGCUGCAUAGAUUUACUUCAUCUAUGCAUGUAUUCUCACUUCAGAGUCUAGGGAUUGUUUUUUUCUCUUCAGUCAAGAUCCAUGAUGCACAGAGGGAAGCUGCAGCGGCUCCCGGUUAGACGGUGCAGUUCUGCAUCAGGGUUGCAUAUUUACAUUCGAAAGCUGCAGACAAACUCUAAACUGGA